rnacentral:rRNA from 1 species
UUGGAGGGCAAGUCUGGUGCCAGCAGCCGCGGUAAUUCCAGCUCCAAUAGCGUAUAUUAAAGUUGUUGCAGUUAAAAAGCUCGUAGUUGAAUUUCGGGAUCAAAUUGUUGGUCGUGCCUCGGUACGCACUGGUAUUAUUGGUUCCUACCUUCUGAAGAACCGCGAUGUCAUUAAUUUGGUGUCGUGGGGAAUCAGGACUGUUACUUUGAAAAAAUUAGAGUGUUUAAAGCAGGCUUACGCUUGAAUACAUUAGCAUGGAGUAAUGAAAUAGGACGUUUGAUUCUAUUUUGUUGGUUUCUAGGAUUGACGUAAUGAUUAAUAGGGAUAGUUGGGGGCAUUAGUAUUCAAUUGUCAGAGGUGAAAUUCUUGGAUUUAUUGAAGGCUAACUACUGCGAAAGCAUUUGCCAAGGAUGUUUUCAUUAAUCAAGAACGAAAGUUAGGGGAUCGAAGACGAUCAGAUACCGUCGUAGUCUUAACCAUAAACUAUGCCGACUAGGGAUCGGAUGAUGUUAAUUUUUUAAUGACCCAUUCGGCGCCUUACGGGAAACCAAAGUGUUUGGGUUC